GCCUUCAUGGUGUAACGGUAGCACACUCGGCGCGUAUUCGAGAGAUCCAGGUUCAAAUCCUGGAGAGGGCA
rnacentral:tRNA from 1 species